UGCCAGCAGCCGCGGUAAUACGAAGGGUGCUAGCGUUGUUCGGAAUUACUGGGCGUAAAGCGCGCGUAGGCGGAUUAGUAAGUUAGGGGUGAAAUCCCGGGGCUCAACCCCGGAACUGCCUCUAAUACUGCUAGACUUGAAUACGGUAGAGGUUAGUGGAAUUCCCAGUGUAGAGGUGAAAUUCGUAGAUAUUGGGAAGAACACCAGUGGCGAAGGCGGCUAACUGGCUCGGUACUGACGCUGAGACGCGAAAGCGUGGGGAGCAAACAGGAUUAGAUA
rnacentral:rRNA from 1 species